GGAGGAAAAGAAACUAACAAGGAUUCCCCUAGUAACUGCGAGUGAAGCGGGAAGAGCUCAAAUUUUGAAUCUGGCGGUCUUCAGGCUGUCCGAGUUGUAAUCUAGAGAAGCGUCUUCCGCGCUGGACCGUGUACAAGUCUCCUGGAAGGGAGCGUCAUAGAGGGUGAGAAUCCCGUCUUUGACACGGACUACCAGUGCUAUGUGAUGCGCUCUCGACGAGUCGAGUUGUUUGGGAAUGCAGCUCAAAAUGGGUGGUAAAUUCCAUCUAAAGCUAAAUACAGGCGAGAGACCGAUAGCGAACAAGUACCGUGAGGGAAAGAUGAAAAGAACUUUGGAAAGAGAGUUAAACAGUACGUGAAAUUGCUGAAAGGGAAACGCUUGAUGUCAGUCGCGUCGUCCGGGGAUCAACCUUGCUUCUCGCUGGGUGUACUUCCCGGUAGACGGGUCAGCAUCAGUUUCGGUCGUCGUACAAGGGCGAGGGGAACGUGGCACUCUUCGGAGUGUGUUAUAGCCUUUCGUCGUAUGCGGCGGGUUGGGACUGAGGAACUCAGCACGACUUCCGUCUGUGCUUAGGAUGCUGGCAUAAUGGCCUUAAGCGACCCGUCUU
rnacentral:sRNA from 1 species